UACGAAGGGGGCUAGCGUUGUUCGGAAUCACUGGGCGUAAAGGGCGCGUAGGCGGCUGUUCAAGUCGGGGGUGAAAUCCCGUGGCUCAACCACGGAAUGGCAUUCGAUACUGGACGGCUCGAGACCGGAAGAGGUGAGUGGAACUGCGAGUGUAGAGGUGAAAUUCGUAGAUAUUCGCAAGAACACCAGUGGCGAAGGCGGCUCACUGGUCCGGUUCUGACGCUGAGGCGCGAAAGCGUGGGGAGCAAACAGG
rnacentral:rRNA from 1 species